rnacentral:rRNA from 1 species
UACAGAGGGUGCAAGCGUUGUUCGGAAUUAUUGGGCGUAAAGCGCGUGUAGGCGGCUCUGCAAGUCGGGUGUGAAAGCCCUCAGCUCAACUGAGGAAGUGCGCCCGAAACUGCAGAGCUUGAGUACCGGAGAGGAUGGCGGAAUUCCCCAAGUAGAGGUGAAAUUCGUAGAUAUGGGGAGGAACACCGGUGGCGAAGGCGGCCAUCUGGACGGAUACUGACGCUGAGACGCGAAAGCGUGGGGAGCAAACAGG